rnacentral:pre_miRNA from 1 species
ACGGCGUUUUUCUCGGAGAAAAAUACCAUCCUUUGGUUCAACAACGGUUGCUGCGUUUUCCACGUUCGGAUACAACCCUGCCCAGUUGCUGUGAGAGAUUGACGAGUGCAAGAAGACCCUCUUUCCAUGUUCCAGACGCAGGCCUUCGCCGAACUGAGAUACAUCGCAAUCGACACACCGGCCGCUUCAGAAUCAGUGACUAGCAUACCCAGCUGCUAUUGG